AAAUGUUCUUUCUACCUCUAGACAGCAACACAGACCGAUAGCAACAGCAGGUGUGACUCUCCUGUGAGAUACCAGAACUGUGGCUUAUAUGCAGGCUAAACCAGCUGCAAGCACUGACGAGCGGGCGUAGGGGCUCUCCAAUCAGCCCCAAACCGACCAAUCAGCUGCAACCAGCGAUCAGGAAGCCAAUUAGCCUGCAACCACCACAUAGAACACCAAGGGACAAAAACACACACGAACACAGAACAAAAGAAGGCACCAGGGACGUAACAGCCUCACACACACAGUGCUGGAGAUCACCCUAUGAAUGGCAGACAAGGGGAUUUGAGAAACGUGUCAAGCCACUCCAGAUGACCCAUGUUAUGCUGUCGGAGGCCCAUCCCGUACCUCCUUUCUUCCCUGCCAGAACAAACCUUAAACACCUCCUGGAACAUGUUCCCCAUGAAUGAACCAGAUUGGGGACAGGUGGAGCUGAUUGGGUCGUUGACAGGUUGCACCUGGGUGUGGGACCAACUAGAAGAGAAACGUUCCUGGUGGCCGGUCCUGGAUGGUUCUCUCCCCACAAGGACUAUGUUGUUUUGUGAUUUGGUUGUUGUGUUUUAAUUAGGUUUGCCCCUCCACAUUUUACACUUGUCUAGGAUUCUCCACUCAUAUGUCUACUUUCAUACUUCACAGGUCUGUUUUUAUACUUUUUGCUACUGUUUUAAUGCCAACAUGUGGACUCACCAUCUGAGAGCCAGGUUGUGACAAUAUAACCUUCAAUAUGCAUUCUAUCCAUUUUUCUUUUAACGAAGUGAUCACUGAUUAGGAUUGUAUUUAGAGUUUGUGUCAAUAAUAUUCAUUAGAUCAACAUAUGUAGAUGUACUGGUAUCUAAGUAUCAGUUUGACAAGUUAUUAUUGGUUAGAUCAGAGGUAUCAAACCAAUUUCAUGGAGGGCUGGUUUUCGCCCUCUCCUUGUACUUGAUUGGUUCGU